AAGAGCUAAAAAAGGAGAAAGGGUCACCGAGCAGGUUUUCUGUGUCUGAGCCCCAGAGUUCAAUCUCUGCUGACCAGACCCCCACUGACCAGACCCCUGAGUGGUGGUGCUCAGAGUCCCCUACCAAUGGCCCUUCUCAGUCCACAGACCUCUCCCUCCCCUCAUCGGCACCCACAGGUGACUGAGAGUCUUCUCGGGACUGGACCCCAACUCCAGGACACAGGGAGGGGCAGUUUGUCCCAGGCUCCGGGUGCUGAGCUUCACGCUUGUGCCACAAGGUCCUCUGGGCCAUCUCAAAGGGGACAGUGAUGUGGCCUCGCACAUCUGGAUGCACUGUCUGGGCCUAUUCCUGAGCCACAUAGCCAGAGGAACAGGAAGCUGUUUGUCAACCCAGGCACCCCACUCUGCUGGGUCUCCCAGGGUCCUUCCCAUGGAGGCCAGAUCCAGAGACACAGCACAGAGGCAGCAGGGUGACCGGCCCAGAACCCUUGAGACUAGGCUGGGGAUGACAGGAGGACUGUCCCCAGACAACCAGAAGACCCUUUGCUAGUUUCUUGGUACUUCAUUUCUCACCUGCCACCCUUACUCCACCAGAAAUCCCCUUCAUGCAGAGUCAAUGAGGAGAGGAAGAUGGACACAGAAUCUGUGGAAAGAAAGAAAACAAAAGCCAGCAAGCGUCUGCACCAGUGCCGGGAUUUGUGUCCACCGUUAUAAGAAGGCAGCUGCUUGCAUGAGGCAUGGCGGUGAGGAAACAAUGCCACCCAGAUUUCACCAUUGGCCGUGUGGACUGGCUCUACCAUGGGCCAGACGCAUGUCUUGGGCAGACACUUUUUAGAUGCCAACUUGCCUGUAGACAAAGAUGACGCAGAGGUGGCCUCGGGGAGGGCCUAUGUGGUGGGUUGAAUUUGUCCCCUGAAAUUCCUAUGCUGAUGUCCUUAGCCCCAGUGCCUGAGAAUGUGAUCUUAUUUGGAGACAGCGUCUUAUAGAAAUAAGUUAAAAUGAAAAAUGAGAUCAUUAGGGGGUGCCCAAUUCAAUAUGACUGAUGUCCUUAUAAAAGGGCAAAUUUGGACACAGAGACAUGCAUAGAGGGAAGACCAGGUGAAGAGACACCGGGAAGGCCACCUACAUGCCAGGAGAGAGACCUGAAACAGAGCCUUCCCGCACCGCCCUGGAAAGGGACUUUCCCUGCCGACACCUUGAUCUUGGACCUACAGCCUCCAGGACUGUGAGACAGUGAGAUUCUGUUGCUGAAGCUGCCCGGUCUGUGGUACUUUAAGGAAGCCCUAGCAAACCAAUGCAGCCUGGUAGCCCACAGCUGGUGAAAAGAUGGAUGAGCGAUGGAGACUCAGGCUUCCUGUUUAUACCUCCCAAAGUGCACUAUGGGAUCUUUUGCUGGGUGUAGGUUUGCAAGAUAAUUCUGGCCAGUGUGGGGACGGCGGGGUGCAGGGUGCAUAAUUUCAGUGUAUAUUAUCGUAUGUUUAUCUUACUGUGUAAAUGCUUGUAAGAACAGUUAACCAACUUAAAGUUUAUAUGCUACUCAUGAUACACUUUAAAUGCUAAUAAAAAUGGAUGCAAAUGAAAACA